AUUGAACGCUGGCGGCAGGCCUAACACAUGCAAGUCGAGCGAGCGGCGGACGGGUGAGUAAUGUCUGGGAAACUGCCUGAUGGAGGGGGAUAACUACUGGAAACGGUAGCUAAUCCCGCAUACCAUCAGAUGUGCCCAGAUGGGAUUAGCUAGUAGGUGGGGUAACGGCUCACCUAGGCGACGAUCCCUAGCUGGUCUGAGUGGAUGCCCAGGCAAACGAUAACUGAGACCCGGUCCAGACUCCGUCAGUAGUAAGCAGUGGGGAAAAUUUCACAAGGGGCGCAAUCCUGAGGCAGCCAGGCCGCGUGUGUGAAGAAGGCCUUCGGGUUGUAAAGCACUUUCAGCGGGGAGGCGUGACCCGCAGAAGAAGCACCGGCUAACUCCGUGCCAGCAGCCGCGGUAAUUC
rnacentral:rRNA from 1 species